UGCAAAAUUGUUUCUUAACAGCUUGUUUUUGUGGUAGCAAAGAAUUGGGAAAUGGAUAAGCAUCAGGUGGGGAAUGGCUGAACAAGAUAUGAUGGUAUGUGAAGGCAAGGGAAUAUUGGUAUUAUAUAAAAAAAUGAUGAACAAGCUGAUUUUAGCAAGGUCUGGAAUGAUUUACCCGAAAUGAUGUUGGGUGGAGUAAGCAGAAGAAAGAAUAAUUUAUAAAAAAUAACAGUAAGAAUUUGUGAUGGUCAACUAGGAAAGAAUUGAUCUUAGUGCUUUAGUGAUCCAAAGCAAUUCCAAUAGACUAGACAGAAAAUGCCAUCUGCUUUCAGAAAAAGAACCAAAUAGAAAGAAUGUAAAGCAAUAUAUGUUCACUUAUUUUAUUUUCUUUUUCUUUCUCCCAUGGUUCUUCCUUUUGCUCUGAUUUUCUUCUCCCAACAUGAUUCAUAAAGCAAUGCUUAUUAAAAAUAAAUUUGCUAAACACUAAAAAUUAAAAUUAUAUUCAAUUUUUAAUUUUUAAGACACUGUGCAAAUAGGACAACCAAUAUCUUUCCUGUUUAGAGCAUCCAAUUAGUCAGAGAUCUGGAGACCAAGAUUGGCUGGAACUUCACAUUCAAUUAGCAAUUCUUGAUUCUCAAUUUGUGCAUCUUCAUCUAUCUGGUGAACCGGGUGGACUGGUGUUUGCAAUUUUCCUUUGUAAGGGUGGCUGAGCCUCUUCCUGGGGCUUUUGGCUGGAGUCCCUAAAGCCUGGGGCAGGCAAGUGCUGCAGCCUGAGGGAGGAGGGGGCUGACAGGAGGAUGCUGUGGCUUCCUGUUUGAUCUCUCAUGGCAAGCAAGGGAGGUCAUUGGUAAGCCCAGAGACCGGCCUCUUCCAGGGGUAGGGACUGCCCAGGCCUGCCCAGCUACUGGCACCACAGUGAAUGCUGGAGGUUUAUGGGAGCCAUCUCUUCCCCCAAGUUUUCAGGGGAAAUGUGCUGAGAUCGACUGGGGAAGAGGAGAGCCUUGGCCCUUAGUGCAGAUUUCUGCUGGGCAGCAGCCAAGUCUGUGGAGGGCCGACAUUCAGCUUCAAAUGUCAGUUGUGGUGGAAGUAAGGGGUGUUUAAGGGGUCUUUCUCCCAGAAAGGAGCAACUCGACCUCGACUAGGGAAGAUGGUGUCCUUGGCCCAUUGGCAAAAGCUUCUGCUGGGUAGUGAAGACAACUCUGUGCAGGGCACUCAUUCUUCCUUUGAUGUCAGUUGUGUCAGAGUGUGGCUUGGUCAGUGUGAAGGGUCUUUCUCCCUGAAGUGGCAACUAGAUGUCGAUCGUGGAAUACGACGGCCUUUUCCCAUUGGCAGAGGCUUCUGUUGGGCAGGGGAGACAACUCUGUGAAGGGCACAUAUUGUUUUUGGGUCAGUGCGUUUGGAGUGUGGCUUGGUGAAUUUCCAUCAAUUGGGGCAAUUCGACCUCGACUGGGGAAGAGGAGCACCAUGGCCCAUUCAUUGGCACAUGCUCCUGGUGAUCAUUGGAGCAGAAUCCUUGCAGCCCUCACAUCCUCCUUUUGUAAGAGCACAGCACAGAUAAGACUUUUGCCUUCGAGUCUGGGGGGGGUGUCAUUUCCCAAAGAGGGGAAACCCGAUCUUUCCUCAUAUAAACAGCACACUUGGCCCAUUUGGCAGAGACUUCUGUUUUUCAGUGGAGCCAACUCCUUGCAGCCCUCACAAUCAGCCUUUUGUGGAACAAUUGGAGUGUUUGCACUUGAUUUUGGGGUGUCGUUUUCCCACAGAGAAGCAAUCUGGCCUUGCCUUGAGAACAUGGCGGACUGGUCCGUUGGCUCAGGCUCCUGUUAUUUUUUAGUGGAGGCAAGACUGUACAGCCCUCUCAUUGAGGACUGUUAUUUUAAGAGUGUUGGCGGGUACUUUUCCAGCAAAGGAACAACUCGUCUCCUGGGGGCCUUGGCCUGUGGGGAGAGGCUUCGGCCUCCUGACAGUGGGGCCAAGUCUGUGGAUGAAGAAGGCAGCCUAUGAGCCAAGGGAGAGAAAUCAGGAAAUAGAAGAGGGAGGGGGGCAAAGAGAGCAGCACUACAGGGAGCAGAGAUGGACUCAGAGAAGCCUGGCCUUUGGCUUAGAGCUGGACCCUCUCCUACUUGCUAACUUCCUUUUCCUGUCCCUCCUUUUCCUCUUCCUCCUUUCACACAUAGAGAAGCAUAAAGGACAAGUUUGUUUCUUCCUCUUGUUUCAUGUAAAACGGGUAUUUGUGCAGAGCUGUGUGCAAGGAAUCAUCCCCUUAGACUGGGAGCUCCUCCAGGCCAGGGCCUGGCUCAGGCCUUUCUUUGUAUCCUGACAGGCCUCCUUCCCCCCUGCCCCAUCCCCUAGACCAAGGCUGGCUGCAUUGCUCAGGUAGGCGAGAGCCCCUCCUGCCUGGGGCCUUGGUGGAGUCCCUUAAGCCGAUGGGCGACUGAGUCUCCUAUCCAGACUGAGACAGGAGGUGGACAAAUGGGCAGUGACUUCCUGUUUACCCUGACCUGUCCUGGAGCAAUCACCUGCUUUUUCCCUCCCAGUAUCAGGGCAUAUUCGGGAAGAUGGCCUGGAGAACAGGAGGACCUUGGCCCUUUGAGAAAGGCUAACUUUUUGAAGAGGAGCCAGCUCUAUUUGAUUGUUGGCCCCCAUUGCGGCAAUCCGUUUUCUCCUAUUACCCAGUGCAGACUUGGCCCGUUUGUACAGGCUGCUUUUAACUGGUGCCAGCAACUCUUUGCAGCCCUCAUUAGCCAUGGGGCUGUUAGCCCUGGUGUUGGGGGGAUCCCUUUCAAGGAAAGGGGGUACUCCUCGGGGCAGUAAGUUGGCCUUGGCCUGUGGGGAGAGGCUUCAGCGACCUGACAGUGGGGCCAAGUCUGUGGAUGAAAAAGGCAGCCUAUGAGCCAAGGGAGAGAAAUCAGGAAAUAGAAGAGGGUGGGUGGCAAAGACAGCAGCACUACAGGGAGCAGAGAUGGACUCAGAGAAGCUUGGCCUUUGAUUUUAGGGCUGGACCCUCUCCUACUUGAUAACUUCCUUUUCUUGUCCCUCCUUUUCCUCUUUUUCCUUUCACACAUAGAGAAGCAUAAAGGACAAGUUUGUUUCUUCCUCUUGUUUCAUGUAAAACGGGUAUUUGUGCAGAGCUGUGUGCAAGGAAUCAUCCCCUUAGACUGGGAGCUCCUCCAGGCCAGGGCCUGGCUCAGGCCUUUCUUUGUAUCCUGUCAGGCCUCCUUCCCCCCUGCCCCAUCCCCUAGGACCAAGGCUGGCUGCAUUGCUCAGGUAGGCGAGAGCCCCUCCUGCCUGGGGCCUUGGUGGAGUCCCUUAAGCCGAUGGGCGACUGAGUCUCCUAUCCAGACUGAGACAGGAGGUGGACAAAUGGGCAGUGGCUUCCUGGUUCCCCUGGCCUGGCAUGGAGCCAACAUCUACUUUUUCCCUCCCAUUAUCAGGGCAUAUUCGGGAAGAUGGCCUGGAGAACAGGAGGGCCUUGGCCCUUUGGCAGAGGCUCAGUUUUUGAAGAAGAGCCAGCUCUAUUUGAUUGUUGUCUCCCAUCAGGGCAAUCCGAUUUCUCUUGGCUGACUUGACCCUUUUGUAGAGGCUGCUUUUAACUGGCGCCAGUAACUCUUUAGAGUCCUCGUUGCCCAUGGGGCUGUUAGACCUGGUGAUGGGGGGAUCCCUUUCAAGUAAACAGGGUACUCCUUGGGGCAGUAAGUUGGCUUGUGGGGAGAGACUUCAGCGACCCAAUGGUGGGGCAAAGUCUGUGGAUGAAGAAGGCAGCCUAUGAGCCAAGGGAGAGAAAUCAGGAAAUAGAAGAGGGAGGGGGGAGCAGAGAUGGACUCAGAGAAGCCUGGCCUUUGGCUUAGAGGUAGACCCUCUCCUACUUGCUAACUUCCUUUUCCUGUCCCUCCUUUUCCUGUCCCUCCUUUCACAUAUAGGGAAGCAUAAAGGACAAGUUUAUUCCUUCCUCUAUUUCAUGUAAAAUGGGUAUUUGUGCAGAGCUGUGUGGAAGGAAUCAUCCCCUUAGACUGGGAGCUCCUCCAGGCCAGGGCUUGGCUCAGGCCUUUCUUUGCACACACUCAGCCCCCCCCCCUUCCUUAUCCCCCAGGCCCAAGGCUGGCUGCAUUGCUCAGGUAGGCUAGCCUGAGUCCCUCCUGCCUGGGGCCUUGGUGGAGUUCCUAAAGCCUAUGGCAGGUGCUCCAGAUUCAAACAGGUGAUUGACAAAGGGAGACUGGUUUCCUGUUUCCCCUCCAUGGCAACCGAGGUCAAUGUUCAUUGGAGUGUUCCAGUUGUGGGCUCCACGCAGGAUCUUCUGUGUGUUCCCUCAGGUGUUUGUGGGAAAUGCUGGGAGAUGGUUUGGGGCAGAUUCUUCUUUUGGGGCCAGUUGGGUCGGAGUGUGGGUUGAUAAAUUUGUGGGGUCCUUCUCCCCAAAGUGGCACCUAGAUGUCGAUGGGGGAAGACGAUGGCCUUUUCCCAUUGGCAGAGACUUGUGCUGGGCAGGGGAGCCCACUCUGGGAGGGCACAUAAGCUUCUUUUGUCACUUGGUUUUACCAUUUGGAUCGUGUAUUUGGGUGUCUUUGUCCCAUAAAGGGGCAACUCCACCUUGACUGGGGAGGAGGAAUGCCUUGUGCCAUUGACAGAGGUUUCUGUUGGGCAAGGGAGCCCACUCUGUGAUGAGCAGAUAUUAUUUUUGGGGGGCCAGUUGGGUCGGAGUGUAGGUUGGUGAAUUUGUGGGGUCCUUCUCUCGUGAAGGGGCAAUUUGACCCGACUGAGGAAGAGGAGUGCCCUGACCCAUUGGCAUAGGCUCCUGGGGAUCCAUAGAGCCAACUCCUUGCAGCCCUCCCUUUCCCUUUUUGUAAGAGCAUAGAGAGGACUGUUUGCCCUGGAUUUUGGGGGGGGCCUUUCCUGAAAGAGGGGCAACCUGACUUUUCUUGGAUAGACAGCAAACUUGGCCAGUUGGCACAGGCUCUAGUGCUCAGUGGAGCCAACUCUGUGCAGCCCUCAUUCAGUUGGACUGUUAUUUCUGACAUUUGGGGGUCCUUUUUACAUAAGGACUCAGCUCGUUGCCUGGAGAACAGUAGGGCCUUGGCCCUUUGGCAGAGGCUCAAUUUUUGAAGAAGAGCCAGCUCUAUUUGAUUGUUGUCUCCCAUCUGGGCAAUCCUAUUUUUCUUUGCUGACUUGACCUGUUUGUACAGGCUGUUUUUAACCGGCGCCAGCAACUCUUUGCAGCCCUCAUUAGCCAUGGGGCUGUUAGCCCUGGUGUUGGGGGAUCCCUUUCAAGGAAAGGAGGGGGGUACUCCUCAGGGCAGUAAGUUGGCCUGUGAGGAGAGGCUUUGGCCGCCUGACGGUGGGGCCAAGUCUGUGGAUGAAGAAGGCAGCCUAUGAGCCAAGGGAGAGAAAUCAGGAAAUAGAAGAGGGUGGGGGGCAAAGAGAGCAGCACUACAGGGAGCAGAGAUAGACUCAGAGAUACCUGGCCUUUGGCUUAGAGCUGGAUCCUCUCCAACUUGCUUACUUCCUUUUCCUGUCCCUCCUUUCACACAUAGGGGAGCAAAAAGGACAAGUUUGUUCCUUCCCCUAUUUCAUGUAAAAGGGGUAUUUGUGCAGAACUGUGUGCAAGGAGUCAUCCCCUUAGACCGGGAGCUCCUCCGGGCCAGGGCCUGGCUGGGAUUUUUCUUUAUAUCCUCCCUGCUUCUUCUUUCCCCUCUGCCCCCAGUCCUUAGUCUAGCGUUCGACCCAUAGUAGAAAAUGAAUGCUUUUGGAUAUUCUUUCUCCUAAGCUCUCUGCACUCUGGUUUCUCUCCUCUUCAUGCAGCUGAGUUUUACUCAUUGAAAUGAAAAGUGACUGAUAACCUCUAUAAUACAAAAACAGUAAGACCACUGUCUAAUUCUGAUCCUUCAGCAUCUCUCUGGCAGCAUUUUUGGGAGUGACUGUCUUUUCUUCUCCUUCAGGAUACUCUCUUUCCAGAGUUUUCACGAUUCUGCUCUCUCUGGCUUCUUUACUGACUGGUGUGUCCUGCUUUUCAUUUAGUCUCUUUUACUGGAUCUUUAUUCAUGUCAUGGAUCCCGGGGGUAACCCCCUUUUGCCUCUGUCACUUGUCAUCUUUUUGCUCUUUUUAUCUCUUAGGAUAUGAUUAGUAUUCUACAUGAAUGCCUGGGAAAUUCAUGAGGUCCCCAUCUCUAGGCCAAACACUCCCAGGUAUAUUGAUGGGGUCUAGUCUGCCUCCUCAGCUGUGCUCCCCAAUUCCCAUAUAACAUUUGUUGCACAUUCUGAAUCGGAUGCCCAGUUUGCAACUGAAUGUCCAUAUGUCCACAACACAUUGCAUAAUCUUGGUCCCUCAAACUCUCCCCUUGUCUGAAAUUCUCAACUCCAGGCACCCAGCUUUGCAGGAUCAGGCACCCCCUACCCUUUUCUCUUACUUGGCCUACCCUUCAUCCAUUUAGUUAUGCAGGUUCUAAGUCCUUGCUCUACAACACUCCUCCCCCACAUGCUUGCUCUCCUUCACUCACCUUGCUAUCAACCUCAUGACCAUGUACACCUCUUUCCUAAAGGACUCCAACUGCUCUAUUAGGAUUAUGCCUUCUCAUGUGCCUGUCUAUCAAUUCUGUAUUUUUCUGGUAGGUUCUAGUUUAUGUAUUUGUUGUCCUCCCAUUUAUGAUGACUUUUUUCUCUUGAACAAAUAUUACUAAAUGUUGGUUGACUGAUUCUCACCCUUGGGAACUAUCCUGUUUCUUCUCCCCAUUCAGCUGCAGAUUUCCUGCGGGAAUAGAUGUCUACAAAUAAAUGCUAAAAACUUAGAUUACAACAAUUAUCCCACCCCCUCAACUAAAGGAGUAGCAGACCCACAAGGCCCUAAUAGCUAAUGUAGCACAUCCCAGGCAUUGCUUUUCAGUGUUUAAUAUGGCUGUGCAGUAAGUAGAGCCUGCCCCAAAAUAAUGGAUGAAAGUGAUCAAUUCUUUCAGGUCCCUUCCCCUAUUAAGUCCUUUCUCCCUUCCAUUUUGCCUCUCGCUUCAUCACUGAAAGAAAUGAAAGGGAGGCAACUGAAAGACUCCGUUGUAUGACCAUAGGAAAACUAAGAGGAUGAAAGAUUAUGGCAAAGUGUCUGUAUAUCCAAAGGAUUUCUCUUUAUAAAGAUGAAAUUCAUUUAUUGACUGUGAUUUCAGGUAGCAUUUUCUUAAUGGAAAGUAAGUAGCUUCUCCCAGACUGCCCAAAUCACAAAAUUUGAGUGUUGUUCCAAUAUUCUUUGAUUUCACCACAUCCUAUGGACCUGUGAGGCUCAUUACAGCCUUGGUUCUGUCCCAGCUUUGAGAAUUCUAUCUUAUUUUUAUUCUCAAAUCCACAAGAGAAAAGGUCCAGGUGUAACCAGAGGGCCAGAAGGAGGAAUUUGAAAGUCCUAACCUAUGGUUCUACCCUGGACAAGCCUUUCUUAACCCUUUCAGUGCCUUGAAGCAAACUAGCUCUCUCAAGAAGAAAUGACAGCUGGGAUACCCAAUGCUGUGAGAAAGGGAUAUUCCAUAUCUACAUUUCAUAUCUACAGACUGGCAGUGUAUGCCGCCAAUUUAAAGAAAUUAAUGAAAUAUAUAAAAUUUUUGAGAUUGUUGAGAAUUAUUUGUUAGGCAUUUAAAAACUGAUUUGAAGACAGGUCAGAUAGACUCCUCCAGUUGUCAGGUCAUUUGUCAGAAAAAGGAUAAGAACUUUGAGCCAAUCUUUCCCCCUCUUUUCUUGUGCAAGGUUCCACAAGUCUCCCAUGGUUCAGGUUGAUCCAUAAACUGGGUGGUGAUAGUGGGGGAGCAUAUUUCUUGGAAGUUCUAUGCAAUUACGGGACCUAGAGGCAGUCUCAGGUUCACAUCAGGGAAGGAUAAAAUAAGGUGAAACACCUACUUUGUCCUCUGCACUGUAUUCAGUGGUCUUUAACUAUACCAUGUCAUUGAAUCCUCACAACAACCCUGGAGCAAACGGAUGAAGUGACUUUCUCUCAGAGACAUAUCUGAGACUGAAUUUGGACUUCAGAUCAUACUGACUUUCAGACUCAGUUCUCCAAAGAUUGUACAAGCCUUACUUCACUGUAACAAAGUACAAGAUUUUUGGGAUAAAAAAAUAUAUCCAUUUUGUAUGUAGCCAAGUCUUAGGGAGUUUGUGUUAUCUCCCUAGAGUCUGGAAGACAGGAUUUAUCUCUUAAAAUAUGGAUGGUAUCUUAGCUGCUUCCCCUUAGAAGACAGGAGGAGUGUUUCUGUGUCUUAUUGCUGGCAUACAAGGUAUCUCUCCCAUUGAUUUCUAGAGAUCAUUUCCUCCCAGAAAAAUAGAUGCCUCCUCGCAGAUGUAAACUUCCUCAUUCCUUCUUCUACACAUACUUCUGCAUCCCUCUCCCUCACAAAAGGAAUUACCAUGGAGACUCUUGCCUACAAAAAUUUCUGAAGGAAACAAGGCAAUGCCUUAGCUGUCAAUUUUUAGCUUUGUUGCAUCUUGCUUUCUAGAGUCCCCAAGUUGGGGUAACAAAAUUUACCGUGCUUUCUGGAGCCCCCAAGCCAGUCUGAUUAAAAUAUUGUGUCCUGCUUUCUAGAGCCCCCAAGUUGGGGUGACAAAACUUAUCAUGCUUUCUAGAGCCCCCACUCUCUGGUAGUUAAAAUAUGCUAUCUUAGUGGAGACAUGAUGAAGUGGGACUCUUGAGGAUGGAAUCUGUUUACUCCCAGUUCUUUCACCCUUAUAAUAACCUCAUACCCUUAUGUAACCAAAACAACACUGUGCAUGCACUAAGUGUAUACUGCACAUGUGGGACCACAUUAACAACUUAGCUAUUGUAAGUAGUUUGCCACCUGAUAUCAAUCUGCUUCAAUCACAACACAGGUUAUCAUUACCCCCUGACUUCUAAGGAAAGCUGAGUGCCCUUAGAGGAGAUGGGGAACCGAACCCAACAUUUAGCAGCUUCUAUCUGGGCUUAAGGUUCUUAUACCUCACCCAGAGUUCUCCCAGUGUCUCUGACCUUCUAUAUAUUGACCUUUUCUGUUUGCUUGUUUUUGUUUUAAUUGAAGCAGGCAUAUACCAGUGAUUAAAUCUAUCAGCAUGGGAGGAAUCACACAGGCAAGUUGUACUAUCAUAUAAGCAAUUAGUAAUACAACAAAAAAUAUGAACAAAAAUCUAUAAAGAUUUCCAUGAGUCCCAGAAGGAUGGUGCAGAAAAUAAAUAUCAAUUCAAAAUCACACAUACACCUCCUUCAGCAGCCAAGAGAUAUCCAAAGCCAAUCUAUUGUUAAACACUUUGUGUUAGGGAAUCCAAUGCUUUUUCCAGGUUUUGAAGUCCUCCAUCAUUCUUUUCAUAAUUCAGGGAAUCCAAUGAUUCCUGCAGGUUGUGAAGUCCUGCAUCAGUCUCACUGACAAUUAUUUUUGAUGUCCAUGAGUUAAUUGACAUGCACAUAGAGUUAACUGCCAGACUCUUUCAGUGGUGGGCACAGUCAGAGAUGGAACCACCCGAUGUUUCGUGGGUCUUCUCCUUCAUUUUGAGGGUCUUCUCUUUUUCUGUCUCUCUCGAAUGCACAAGGUGGAUAUGGCUUGUUGGCACCCAUCAGGUUCCUUUUCCAUCUGUAGAGAUACAAGCAAACCCUUUCCCACAAGCAGUUAACCUAUUGGGUCCUUUCCGUUCACCACUUUUUCAACUCUUCAUAUCACCUGGAGAUUAUCUAAAGAUACUGGAGCUGCUCACACUUACACUGCCCUUCCAGUGGGUUAUGAAACCUGUCUGCCAGAGCCAGUUCAUCUCCAUUAAAAAAAAAUUAAUCUAUAGAAUUAAGUUUAGAAGAUCUCUAGGGUUACCUGUGGCUCCCCCUUUCUUUUAUUUUGGAGCAUCUUGAUGUCUGUUUCUCCUCUCUACUAUUGCCUGUCCUUGAGUGGUGUGUGAAAUCUGAUACUGCACACAAAAGUGUGCAGAAUGUUUAGAAGUAUAGGCAGGUCCAUGAUCUUUUUAUUGCUUUUGGCCCACCCAUAAUUGCAAAAGCUUUUACAAGGAAUUCAGUGACCACUCGGGCUGUCUCUUUUGCUGCUGGUAUUGCAAAAGUAAAUCCUGAGAAGGCGUGUACUACAACAUAAGACCUGAAUAUUUUCAUUGGUUAAGGGCCUCUGUUCCACCCACACUAGUAUAUCAGUUUUCCAUUGAAUGGGAACAGGUGAGAGUGCUGGCAGGCCUUCACAGCAACCUUGCCUAAAAAGCUGAAGUACUUAAUUGUAAUCCUAACUAUUGUAAGAUAUCUCUUCCCCAGAGAUUGAUAAGAGAUUUUCCAUCUCAAAGGUGUAGCAUCAAGUUCAGCUGCUAUUGAUCCUCCUAUGCCAUACAUAUAGGUGUUUGUAGUAAUCUUUGGCCAGUGGCUGGGAUAUUAGCUACACAUCCCCCAGUUUCCCAAAUCAGUGCAUGUAUAGACACUUUUUUAAUCACACUCAAGUGGUGAAAUGGUCAAGCCUACUGUGAGUGGAGACAAGGGAUCUAUAGGCCAGACAGGGACAGGUUUCAGCUCUCUAGGGGAUAUCUCAGUGGUCCUAGAGGUAUACAGCUUUGUUCUUCCUAAUGGCAAUCCCUUUCCCCUAUCAUCUUGCUUAAAGACUCUCUGGGUGUUAUAGCAGUUCCCAUCAUGCCCAAGUGUUUUUUGCCUGUGGCCCUGGAGCCUAGCCCUCCUCUUGUGAUAAAGGCAUAGGGGGUGGACAAAACUGCUGCAUGGGUGGUGCUUAUGGUGUCAUUACCCUUCACACUCCUCCUCCUCCUCCCCCUCCCUCCUCCCAUGAAGGUGGGGUUGAGGGAGGAGGUUCAGGAGAUGGGGAAUACCCUAAGGGAACAUCCUCUGGUGUAGGCAGAAUUGAAAAUGAGCUUUGAAGGUGAAAAGCAAGCUUCAUCAGCAAGGUACUUAAACUACUUAAUUCUUUUUCUGCCCAAUAGGCCAUGGUACUUAAGAUAAGAAGGUAACUCUCUUAUGGUGAUAAGAGAGUUGGCCAUGUCCUGCAAAUCUAGAAUAGUAAUAAGCAAAAUAAAUAAAUCAGUAAAAUACUAAAAAAGACUUCCUUAGCUCCAUCCCAAGUUCUGUACUCUCCAAGGCUACAGACACCAACCCUCUGCUUGUUUUUCUCCUCAUACUUCCUGGUUUAACCCCCCAGGUUAAAAUCUUCCCUUGUUUUCCUUAAAAUCGAUUUUACUCCAUUGUACUCAGAUAGUUGUUCUCCCACUAACUUCCACAUCUAUGGCUCCAAACUCUCCUCCUUACAAAGCCACAGAGAUGAGCACUCCAGAGAAUCUGAGAACCCAGUGAUCUGCUUCUGAGUUACUAAUAAAUCUUACUUCUUUGUUAACCUAACUACACAUGCUUCAUACGUCCCUUUUUUUGGGGGGGCUCUUUUCUUAGUAUUUGCCCCAUUUGGGUUGAAAAACAAAAGUGACUAGAUAAGCUCUUACUGAUUCUUCCCUCUUGCCUAUUUUUAUACUUACCCAAUUUUCAGUUCACGGGUACUUCUCAUUAAACUCAACCAAGGGUCAGUUAAGCUGAUGUAUGCAGGACCUCACCUAGAGCCUCAUGUUUAGGUGCCAAAUGUUGUGUUCUGCUUUCUAGAGCCCCCAAGUUGGGGUGGUUAAAAUAUACCAUCUUAGUGGAGAAGUGAUGAGGUGGGACUUUUGAAGAUGGUGGGAAAAUGGAGUCUGUUUAUUCCCAGUUCUUUCACUCUUAUAUACCUCAUACCCUUAUGUCAUAAAAAUAACAUUGGCCAUGCGCUAAGUAUACACUGCACACAUAAGACCACAUGAAUAACUUGCUAUUGCAUGUAUAUUGCCACCUGGUAUCUAUCUUUGCCAAUCUGCUUCAAUCACAACACAGGUUGUCACCACCUCCUGAUUUCUCAGGAAAGCCAGAGCCCUUAGGGGAGAUAGGGAGCUGAAGCAGACAUUAUUAGUAGAUUCCCUCUGGGCUGAAGAGUCUUAUACCUUACCCAGAGUUCUCCCACUGUCUGUGACCCUCUACACAGCUCAUUCUGGGUGUGUUGAUAGCAAUUGUUUCCUUCCUGUCACUAUCACUAUCACUCUGUCCUCUCUCCCUCCUCUUCUCUCCCUUUUCCUCCCUUUCUCUCCUCUGUUUUCCUCUUUGCUCCUCCUCCUCCUCUUUCUUCUUCUCCCUCUUCCUUUUCCUUCUUGUUCUCCCUCCUCCUCUUCCUCUUUGUCCUUCUUCUUCUCCUUCUCUUUUUCCUCCUUUUCUUUCUCCUCCUACUCCUCCUCUUUGUCCUUUUUCUCCUUUUUCUCCUCCUCCUCCUCCUCUUCCACCUCUUCCUCUUUGUUCUCCUCCUCCUCCUCUUCUUUCUUCUCUCUCUUUCUCUCCCCUCUUUCCUCGUUCUCUCCUCCUUUCCUCUUCCUCCUUUCUCUUCUUUCUUAGGUAUGAGAGACAGCCAGGGCAAAUGUACAAGACAGAGGAAAGGGACGGUUUUGUCUAAAAUGCAGCAAGGAGGCUACUGUCACUGAAUCUUAGAGGAUGUUGAGAUGGGAUAGAAGGUGGAAGGAGCCUGAAAAGAGAGGAUAGGAUGAGGAGGGGCUUGGUUGGGGGGAGGUUUGGGGGUAGUAGUGGCAAUGUGAUCUGAUAGACCCUAGUCUUAUUUCUGCCACUUCCUAGAUCUAUCCCCUUUGGAGGGAUACUUUGCAGUACCUUUGGAGGUACUGCUGUAAAGUAGGGAGGAGUUCCCUUUCCCUGGAUCCACAGUUAGUGGAAAGGAAUGAGUAGUUGAUCAGUGGAAUAGGAUAGGUUCACAAGACACAACAAUCAGUGACUAUAAUAAUCUAGUGUUCGAGACAUCCAAACUUCUGGGAUAAGAACUCACUCUUUCAGAAUAAUUGUUAAGAUAACUGGAAAAUAAAAUGACAGAAAUUAAGCACUGACCAACAUCUAACACCUUAUGCCAAAAUGUCAAAAUGUGUUCAUGAUUUACAUAAAGAGGUGUGAUAUUAACAACUUAGAACAACAAAGGAUAGUGGACUUCUCUGAUCUGUGGAGAAGGAAGGAACGAAUGGUCAAAAAUAGCCACAAUCCAUUAUGAAAUGCAAAAUAGAGCAUUUUGAUUACAUUACGUUAAAAAGUUUGUGUCCAAACAAAAUCAAUACAGACAACAUCAGAUGGAAUCAGGAAAUUGGGAAAAAAUUUUUCCAUUCAAGGAUUCUGAAAAAGGUUUCAUUUCUUUUUUUUAAUUUUAAAUUUCUUUUUAUUAAUUUUAGCUUAGAGUGAUACAACUCUUUACAUAAUACAGUAAAAUUCUUAAAGAAGAUGAUUGCACAUGAAACUGCAAAUGUAUUAUGUACCAUUUUCUGUUCCAUAAAGAUUUCAUUUCUAAAAUGUAUAGCGAAUUGAAUCAAAUUUAUAUGAAUACAAGCUAUUCUCCAAUUAACAGAUGGUCAAAGGAUAUGAACAGACAAUUUUCAAAUGAAGCAAUCAAAACCACUUCUAAUAAAGGAGAGGAAGGGACUCACCUGUGCAAAUCUAUUUGUGGCAGCCCUUCUUGUGGUGGCAAGAAACUGGAAACUGUGUGGAUGCCCAUCAGUUGGAGAAUGGCUGAAUAAGUUAUGGUAUAUACAUGUUAUGGAAUAUCAUUGUUCUAUAAGAAAGGAGAUCAACAGGAUGACUUCAGAAAGAGUUGGAGAGAUUUAUGUGAAAUGAUGCUAAGUGAAGUGAGUACAACCAGGGAAACAUUGUAUACAGCAACAACCAGAUUACUCAGGAAUCAAUUCUGACGGAUGUGGCCCUUUUUAAUAGUGAGGUGUUUUGGGCCAGUUCCAAUGAUCUUCUGAUGAAGGGAGCCAUUUACACCCAGAGAGAGAACUGUGGGAACUGAGAGUGGAUCACAACAUAGCAUUUUCACUCUUUUUAUUAUUGUGUUUGUUUGCAUUUUAUUUUCUUUCUCAUUUUUCUUCCCUUUUGAUCUGAUUGUUUUUGUGCAUCAAGAUAAUUGUAUAAAAUAUGUAUGCAUAUAUACUAGAUUUAAUCUACAUUUUUUACAUGUUUAACAUAUAUUGGAUUACUUGACAUCUGGGGGGGGAUGUGGGGGAAAGGAGAGAAAUUUGGAACACAACAUUUUGCAAAAGUCAAUGUUGAAUAAUUGCCCAUACACAUGUUUUGAAGAAAAAAAGGUUUAAUUAAAAAGAUUUUUAAAAAAGAAAAAUAAUGAUGAAGACAAGGAUUUCUAUGACCUCCCCUAACUUUCUCUCAAACCAACAACUGAUUAAGUCUAAACUGGUUCGGAAUGACAGAAACCAUAAAUAUCUGGAGUACAACACAUUCCCAGAAGACCAUACCUUGGAACAGCUUCAGAACAGGUGUGUUCCAAACAACAGGGGGACAGUCUGCCAGCCUAGACUGCAGCACAGGGAGCCUGGAGCAAGGAUCUGGUUGAGGAGCCAGAAUGUUGCAGCAUCCACUGGGGAUUCUUCUGUGAAACUCUUAGGUUACCUUGUCCUGAUUACAAGUAGGUGUUAGCAGAUAUACUAUAAAACUACCCAAAAGUGAAUACAAAAGGCAAACUGUGAGCUGAUGAGCCUCAGAAGAACUUGGCACCUGGAUGAGAUUACCAACCAAGCAUUGGAAGUCAGUCAGAAACAACGGCCCCAGGCUAAACUAAAGCAGCUGUCACUUCCUUGCCUUAAGAGCAGAUCUCAACCUUUAAACAAAUGAAAUAGAGAAAGAAAGCUGACCAUAGCCAACUUUUAUGGAGAGAGAGAGAACAGACCUGAAACCCUGAGGUUCCUAAAGGUCAAUCAACCCCACAUGAAGUCCGCAAAUGAGAUAUAUGAGCUGGUCCUCAUUUCACAAGGCUUUCUUGGGAGAUUUCAAAAAAGAUCUUCAAAGAGAGAAGAAAAAAUGGGGAAAAGAAAUGAAAUAUUUGCAAGAGGAUAUAGAAAAGGAGAAACAGAAAUUUUCUGAAGAAAACUUCUUUAAAAAUUGGAUGAAAUAGGAAAAUUAUGUAACUCCCUACAAAACAGAUUUGUGGAAAUGGGAAAAUUAUGUACCUCCCUACAAAAUAGGUUUGAUGAAAUGGAAAAAUAUUUAUCUCCUUACAAAAUAGCUAUGAAAAAGAUACUAAUUUCUUGAAAAAUGGAAUUUGUAAAAUGAAAAAAAGACAAUGAUUAAAACAAUUCAAUUGGCCAAGUACAAAAGGACCUAAAAAAGGUAACUGAAGAACAUAAUAUACUAAAAAUUAGAAUUGAAUAAAUGAAAACGAAUAACUUAAGACUUCAAGAAUCAGUCAAACUAAACAAAAAAUAAGGAAAAUAGAAGAAAAUAUGACUUACCUCCCAGGAAAAACAACUGACCUGGAAAAUAGAUCUAUGAAAGACAAUCUUCCUGAAAGCCAUGAUGAAAAUAAAGAACCUAGACAUUACCUUACAGGAAAUCAUAAAUGAAAACUACCCUGAUGUCCUCAAAUUGGAGGGUAAAAAAUAGUUGUUGAAAGAAUUCCCUGAUCACCUGUUGAAAGAGACCCCAAAAUGAAAACUCCAAGGAAUAUUGUGGCUUAAUUUCAGAAUUAUCAGACAAAGGAAAAAUUUUGCAAGCAGCCAGAAAGAAGCAAUUCAAAUACAGAGGAGCCAAAAUCAGGAUUACCUAGGAACUUCUACCUUAAAGGCCUGGAAUUUGAUAGUCCAAAAGGCAAAAGAACUUGGAUUACAGCCAUAAGCUAUCCAGCUAAAAUGAGCAUUAUCUCACAGAGAAGAAGAUGGGCAUUCAAGGAUAAAGGUGAAUUUCAUCUAUGUCUGAUGAAAAGGCCAGAGCUGAACUAAAAAUUUGAUCUCCAAACACAGAACUCAAGAGAAUCUUAAAAAGGCAAAAAGGAAAGAACUAUUGAGAACUAUAUUUCUGGUAUGGGUAUGCUUAAGAGAGUGCGGGCAUAAUUUGAUUUUAUUAUAAUAUAAAAAAGGAACUAGAAGUGGAAAGAGGAUCACACUGGAAAAAGAGGGAAAAGGAGGUUAAAAUUUUUAUGGGAAAUUACAUCUCAUAAGGAGGCAAAGAAGACCUAUUAUAACUGAGGGAAAGAAGGGAGGGUGUUGAACAUGGUGUGAAUCACACUCUCAUCAGAUUUGUUUCAAAGAGAGACUACCAGACAUAUCUGUUUUCACAGAGAAAUUUGUCUCAUUUUAUAGGAAAGUGGGAGGGGAAAGGGAAAAGAAAAGGCAAGACUAAUCGAAGGAAAAACAGUAGUCAGGGAAAGGUGAAAAAAAGAGGGAGGGGCCCUAAAGGAGGUUGGCUGAGGGAGGGUGGUGAUAGGAAGCAAAAUAUGGGGGAAGAGAGAAGAGGGAAAGGAAAGAUAAAAGCAUAACUUAAGGUAAAUAAGUUGACAGGAAAUAGAGAAUUAGUUAUUUUAACUGUGAAUGUGAAUGGGAUGAACUCUCUCACAAAAUGGAAGUGGAUAGCAGAUUGGAUUAAAAGCCAGAAUCCAACAAUAUGUUGUUUACAAGAAACACAUUUAAAAGAUUGUAGGGAAAGGGCUGGAGCAGAAUUUAUUGUGCUUCAGAUGAAGUAAAAAAAGCAGCGAUAGCAAUCCUGAUCUCAGAUCAAGUAAAAGAUCUAAUUAGAAGAGAUAAGGAAGGACAGUAUAACUUGCUAAGGGUACCAUAGAUAAUGAAGUAAGAUCAAUACUAAACCUAUAUGCACCAAGUGGUAUGGCAUCCAAAUUCCUAGAGGGGAAGAUAAGAGAUGCAAGAAGAAAUAGACAGGAAAACUAGACUACUGGAGGAAUCUCAACCUUGCUCUCUCAGAACUAAAAUCGAAUAAAAAAUAAAUAACAAAGAAUUAAGGAUGUAAACAAUGUUAGAAAAGUUAAGUAUGAUAGACCUUUGGAGAAAAUUAAAUGGAGACAGGAGUUUGCUUUUUUUCUCAGAGGUUCAUAGAAUCUCUACAAAUAUGACCACAUAUUAGGACAUGAAAAUCUCAAAAUCAAAUGCAGAAAGGCAAAAAUAGUAAAUGCAUUUUUUUCAGUUCAUGAUGCAAUAAAAAUCAUAUGCAAUGGAAGGCCUGGGAAAAAUAAAUAAAAAAUUAAUUGGAAAUGAAACAAUCUAAUCCUAAACAAUGAAUGGGAGUAAGAUUCUUUAAAAAAAAAAAGCUAAGGUCUGCUUUUAGGGUAGAGGAAGUUUUCCAAGUUUCCUCUACAAACUGAAUCAUGGGGGUUUAGUUUUUCUUCAAAAUGAUAUUGUGAUUCUGAAAUUGUGGGAGAUCAUUAUUUUUGCUUUGUGCAUGAUUAAUCUGUUUAUUCUGGGUAUGAGAUCUUGGGAAUUUGAAUAUUGAACCAUUAAUAAACAAAAAAAUUUUUUUAAAGUGCUAUUUUAUUUGAUUUGGUUUAAAAAUAGCUUGUUAAAGCAAAGUUCUAAUAACUUAACUGAACAGGUCACAUAUCCUUCUAAUUAGUUGAAGUAUGUUACCUUCUAAAACAUACAUUGGGAAAUUUAUAAAUAUUUUAAGUUAUACUUUAAAAUUUUGUCAGCUGUUUCGAAUAUGUGUAAAGUUUUUGUAAAGUUAUUUAGCUGUUAACUAUAUUAUGAAUCUUAAAAUGUUUUGGGGAAAAAAAAGAAAACAAAAAAAAGGAAAAGUGAUUUUACAUACAUGGGACACAAAGGAUCGAUUUACUGAAACAAUUGACAGUUUGAAUGAAAUUUCUAAUUAGAACAUCACCUGGAAAAGUGUUGAUUUUAAGUAAUUUUAAGCACAGUCUAUAUUUAACUUUGAAAUGACUGUACAUUACAUGAUAUUCCUAUCUAUUUUUUUUGAUAGGUUAUGUUAUGUUUGUGGCUAUCGUGUGUGAAAAUUGUGGAAUUGAUAAUUGUGUAGGGAUUAUUGUCGAAAUUGUUAAGGGUUAUUGGUUUUGGAAGCAUGUGGGAAUCGGGAGGAGAGAGAUAUGGGAUGUGUUACAGGGGGAUAGUGCUGAUGAUUGAAAGGGAGAGAGCAAGGGGAGAGGAGUGAAGUGACAAAAAGAGGCAAGUCCCUUAAUGGAAGAAAUUUGUCAUUUAUUUGGAGAAAGAAAACACACUGGCUGGCUAAAUACUGAGAAGGACUUGGCUCUCUAAAAGUUUAUUAUGAAAAGUGGAGUAGUGAAGGUGAGAAUUUAACUCACUCCCCUCCUCCCUGGAUAUGGCUGCUUCUUAGAAGGGAAGACAAACUGUAGCUGGCUCUUUGCUGUAGAGAGCGUUUUAUUGUUUAAAGAUACAGCCUCCAUUACAUUGUGUUAAUUACUGAACGUUUUAUUUUUUCAAGUCUAUGGCUUCUUUCAGGCAAAGUCAUUUUUGAUGCUGUAGCAUAGAUUCCACAAGUUCUCUGAAAGUGAUUAUUUCUACCAAGGUCUCCAUCUGUUUUCAACAAAUUAUUUAAUGUUUAUUUAAGUGCAUAAUGGUCUCCUUUUUUAAUGACUAUGAUAACAAAUGUGAUCCAGCUUUUUUGAAGUACCUGGAGCAGGAUUUUUAUCUGAACUGAUGGGAUAUGCCCAAUUGUUUAUGGGAUUUUUUGUUUUAUAUACACCUUGUUCUACCUCUUACUUAUAUUUCCAAAGGUUUAUAGGGAAUCCUCAAUUGGAGAAGGAUGAAUUAAUAUAUUUUAGAAUGAAAAAGUUAUUAAUGUUAUUUCUGAUAAUGUUCUUUUAUGUGUGAUUAAGAUAUUCUGUAUGAGUUUUAAUUGAAUGUCUGGAGUCAUCUUAAACUGUACCCAUUAUUUAAAGGGACUCCUGAGAAUAAUAGAUUUUGCCUUUGUCCCUUUGUAUAUGUUUCUGCUAUAGACAAUAUGCAAUUUAGACUUAUUCUAUGUAUUGGGCAUUUUAAAAGCAAAAUGAUUUAUAUAAUGUUGACCUUAUAUAUAAGCCAUCUUCUUAGAUAUGAAUGAUGAGCUGUGAACUUUCUUGGAUGACUGUUACUUCUUUUAUCAAAAUAAGGUCAUGGUUAAUACCUAUUUAGGAUAUGACAUCCUUGAGAGCUGGAUCCAUCUGAAGCUUUGAUUAAUGAGAUUUGCUAUUGGAGGUAAAACCUCUUGGCACUGUAGCUAAUAUUAUUUGGGAGUUUUAAAUGCAGGUUUGAAUGUCUGAUAGAUCAUCAAGCCAGUGCUCCACCUCUGAAAGGAACUGGGACAAUUACCUGAAGUAUAACUGAGUUUAGGCUCCUUUAUCCUGUGUCAUGUAUGUGCUGAAGAAUCAGUUUUGACUGAUUAUAUUAUAUUGUAACCAUGUUCCUGCUUUUUCAUCCUAGAGCUGAUUUCUAUAAUCAGAACAAAUAGUCAAUGAAAACCCUUAAUAUACUUCAAUUAUGUAAUACCUUUGCUGUUUCCAAUGUGACUAUAUGUAGUCAUUAUAUCCUUAAUAAUUAGGUGAAUGAGUAUUUCACCUAGUCAUCCAUCAGUUAGUAGAUAUGUGUUCUGUAGCUAAUAAGGACCUUAAAGAUUUCUAAAAUAAUGUAAGACUAAUUGACAUGAUUGUUUGUGAGACCUCACUGGUAUUUUGUUUAUUUACAGUUGACACAUCUUUAACAUUUGUCUGUCCUGUGAGACAAGCAUGUUUCCCUAUAUGGGAAGCUGCUGGUCAAUCUAUAUUGGCCUCUCCACAUCUUGCAGCAGUCCUUGUGGGCCAGUCUUUAUUGUUAGAUUUUUUUUUUAUUCUAGAUUUUGGUCAAGUUACAGCUGUAUUGACCUGCUUCAAGACCUGGAUCAACCCAUCAGAUGCUUCAAUGCAUUCUAGUACACCACCCCAAGAAAUAGGAAUCUGAAUGGAUUUUUCAAGUCUACGCCCAUUCUCAGCAGGAAGUAGUUUCUGAAGAUGAGACCAUCCCCCUUGUUCCCAAUGGACUUUGAGCCCCAUUGAUUUGGGGGGAACUGGGACUGAUUGAUGAAUGACUGCCAAAUUCUGACUGGGUCUCCUGUUGCAAUGUUUUUAGGAUUUAGUAUGAAAAUAUUGGGUUAAAAUUUGAGUAACUGUUGCUGAAAAGGAUUCUUAUAGGCAUGUAUUUGCAUUAUCUAAUUGAACACAAUGUUCCUUUCAGAACAUGUAAUUAAUUAUUUGAGGGAUUUUUACAUAAGUACUGGAGCAGCCACCCUUAUUGUACUAGUGUAUUAUGUAUAAGAACUUGAAUUCAUUUUCAGGAUUAUAUGUGAGAUGACUACUUGACAAUUGGAGCCCUAUCUACUUCCCCUUAGAUGAUGGCUUUGAUAAAAACAAAAGGAUGUGUAUGGAAUAGAGAGAAGGUGAAGAACCUUCAGGAAUGUAUGAAUUCUUUUUUCUGUAUUUUAUUUUCAUUAUUUCUAUGUUUCCCCUAUGACCUGUAUAAUAUGUGAAGGCUCAUAUUUACUUGAGCCUUGGCCAGUUAGAAACAUAUUUACUUAACCUGGGCUGAUGACAUUAAUAGUAUUGACAUUUAUUGAUAUUUAGUCUAUUAGCUGGAACAUUGUCUGCUUGAUUAAGUCUGAAGGCCUGACUUUGUUUCCUAGAAAUCAGGAGAUUUUAGGGAAACAGAAACCUUCCACUCCAAUCUCUCCAAAUAGCAACAACCAAUUAGAUGCCUCCCUCUCCCCUCCCCUUCUCAAUGCUCUCUUACUUGUGAUGUAAUUUCUUGUAUAAAAGCUGUGUAUCUUUACUACUUCUUUAGCCCUCCUACUGCGAGCUUAUCUUAUCUUAUCUUGGGAUGGGAUGGCUCAUUCUCCAGAGGUUUUCAAUAAACAACUUUUCUGCCUUCUACUGAGUGAUCUCUGAGUAGUCAUUUUGGGUAAGGGUCUUCCUCAUCCCUCACAGUUGGGGGGCUCAUCUGGGAUGGGGUUUUUGGGGGAGAUGGCUGUGUGCAUCCCAGACAGGGACAGGCGCCCAAGGAGUAGUUUUCUCCAUGGUCUCUGGCUCUGGAUGAGCAGCCUCUCUCCCCUCUUAGACAAUGACCUGAGGCAGGGAUACUCAGUGAAACGCAGAAUUGAAGAUUGAAGGAAGUAGAGUCCUGAUGGCUGGCAUUUGCACCCUGAAAAGAAACACGUGUUCUUAAGAAUUUGGUCAAAUUACAGAUUAUUGAACCUCUUCUGAGACAUGGAAGUUUAGAAUGACACCACACCUACACCCCUGCAUGGAUUGCAAGCCUUCGCCCAUUUCUCAGCCUGAAGCAGCUACGAUCGAGACUAUCGCCCAUGCUCCUGAUGUAAUUUGGACUGAUGUGGGGGAAGUGGGAAAGUGGUUGAUGAAUUAUUGUUAAAAUUACAACUCUAUUACUGUGUGUUUAAGAUUUGUGAUGGAAAUUAUUAAAAUUGUAACUAUUGUUAAGGAAGUUAUAAUAUGUUUAUAAUAUCUAUGUUCACUUCAGAAUAUGUAAUUGUUUGAGGGAUUUUAU
ensembl:lncRNA